AGAGUGAGAAGGACAUUUUCCACAGAAAUUUUGUGCCCUUCAGUCUGGUCAAGUGGGUAAAAUAUCAUGGAUCCUGGCCACAAGCACAAGAUACCGAAAGGCUGCUGUCAGGUCUUCCCAGAGCCUUCUCUUUUUCCAGGCUGAACAACCCCAGCUCUCUCAGUCUGUCCUUGUACGAGAAUUGUUCCAUCCCUUGGGUCAUUUUUGCAGUCUUCGUCUGGAAGCGUUCCAACAGAUCCACAUUUCUCCUGUACUGAGGACUCCACAGCUGACAUGGUAGUUCAGCUAGAGACAAGGAAAAUGGCAUACAUCCCAAGCAGUGAUGGGAGAAUCUCUGAAGAAACCUUUAUGAAGUCACGAUGCCAGAUCCCAAACUAGGACGUAAACAGAUGUGUGGAGAUGGCCUCAUUUAAUGGAUGGUGCUGUUGCAGCGCAGAUCAGAUCAGCACAAUUCGCUCCAACUCACUCUUGCAGGUUCCCAAAAUUACAAGCCCAGCACUGCCUGGUGCUUUGAGAAAAACUCAGCGAGAAACUGAGUAUGAAGCCAGCUCAUGCUACGGCAGUCUUGCUCACCAAGCAGCAGUGUUAUAAGUACAUUAGCAUUUAGCAAAAUUGUACAAAGCCACGGUCCUGCCUCGAG
ensembl:lncRNA